UAGGGAAUAUUGGGCAAUGGAGGAAACUCUGACCCAGCAACGCCGCGUGAAGGAUGAAGGUCUUCGGAUUGUAAACUUCUGUUGUAGAUGACGAAGAAUGACGGUAGUCUACGAGAAAGCCCCGGCAAACUAUGUGCCAGCAGCCGCGGUAAUACAUAGGGGGCAAGCGUUGUCCGGAAUGACUGGGCGUAAAGGGAGCGUAGGCGGUAGGAUAAGUUGUAUGUGAAAACCUUGGGCUUAACCCAAGACCUGCAUACAAAACUGUCUUACUAGAGUGUGGGAGAGGUAAGUGGAAUUCCUAGUGUAGCGGUGGAAUGCGUAGAUAUUAGGAGGAACACCAGUGGCGAAGGCGACUUACUGGACCAUAACUGACGCUGAGGCUCGAAAGCGUGGGGAGCAAACA
rnacentral:rRNA from 1 species